GAUGAACGCUGGCGGCGUGCCUAAUACAUGCAAGUCGAGCGAACAGACGAGGAGCUUGCUCCUCUCACGUUAGCGGCGGACGGGUGAGUAACACGGGGGUAACCUACCGAUAAGACUGGGAUAACUUCGGGAAACCGGAGCUAAUACCGGAGAAUAUAUUGAACCGCAUGGUUCAAUAGUGAAAGACGGUUUUGCUGUCACUUAUAGAUGGAUCCGCGCGGCAUUAGCGAGUUGGUAAGGUAACGGCUUACCAGGGCAACGACGCGUGGCCGGCCUGAGAGGGUGAUCGGCCACACUGGAACUGAGACACGGUCCAGACUCCUACGGGAGGCAGGAGUAGGGAAUCUUGCGCAAAGGGCGAAAGCCUGACGGAGCAACGCCGCGUGAGUGAUGAAGGUCUUCGGAUCGUAAAACGCUGUUAUUAGGGAAGCACAAAUGUGUAAGUAACUAUGCACGUCUUGACGGUACCUAAUCAGAAAGCCACGGCUAACUACGUG
rnacentral:rRNA from 1 species